UGUGAAUUGAGAAACUAUUGAACAGAACCUUCACGGAAAAUGAUAGGUUUGAAGUUGCCUUUUUACAGGGCGGCAUGACAAUUGACUUUCUUUUUUACGUUAAAAAAUGCUUUAAAAUACUAAUUUUGCUUGUUAUAGUUGUCCAUUUAAAUAAACCAAUGACUACUCACUCAGCUCGUCCGUAGCUGCUGCCAUUUUGAAAUAGUGUAUGAGAGAAAGCGGAUGACAUCGAGAAACGAGAAAUGUCGCUGAAUUUUGCAAUUAAUCGUUUUAUGUCGAAUCACUAUCUAUGUACUUUGACUAAACAUAUGCAAAUUGAUGUACUUCGUUUAACAACGCAAAAUACAAUAACAAAAUUUUGAUCUUUUCGUUUAUUUGUUUGAUCAGUACAAUGUACUUAAUCUUAUACGAAUGCUUAAAAAAUAAAAUUAUAAAUGUAAGACGUCA